rnacentral:rRNA from 1 species
AUACGGGGGGUGCAAGCGUUAUACGGAAUCACUGGGCGUAAAGGACGCGUAGGCGGGUUGGCAAGUCAGAUGUGAAACCCUACAGCUUAACUGUAGAACUGCAUUUGAAACUGCUAACCUAGAGUAUGGGAGGGGGAGAUGGAAUUAGUGGUGUAGGGGUAAAAUCCGUAGAUAUCACUAGGAAUACCGAAAGCGAAGGCGAUCUCCUGGAACAUAACUGACGCUAAGGCGUGAAAGCGGGGGGAGCAAACAGGAUUAGAUACCCUAGUAGUCC